CUGCCAUAAGCUCUUUCAAAAACAUGCAAAAUAUCUUUCACCCAGUCACUAGUAUCACACCAUGUUUCAUUCUACUUUCCAGACAAAAUAUAGAUCCCUUUAGCAUCUUUCUAUUUUAUUUGCCAUCUGCCAUCCCUUCCAGUAAACAGGAUAAGUAAUUAUGGCCCUGCAUAUUAAUCGGUCAAGUACAUGAACAGGUUGGA
rnacentral:lncRNA from 1 species